AAUGCUGACAGGGCAGGGCUGAGACCCUGGGACCUCUGGCCUUUGUGUGUACAGAAGCUGAGAGAAGCAAGAGGACGCCCCCCCCCACCCCAGGGACAAGUUGCUAAGACAUCUCAAGAUAGGGCUAGCCUCAUUGAACGAACACUGCUCUGGGAAAAAAGUGUACAGAAGAGGAUGGCACGUUCCUGCUGCCUGGUGAAUGGCUAUGUGGAGAAAUAAAAGGAAGAAUUACUGUCCUGCUUCUCUCCAGCUGAGUGGACCUGCUAUUUGCUGGAAGCAAGUCCAGGGGAGUAUGGUAGUCAUCCGCUCGUUGCUGAGACCAAGUACUUGACCAGAAGCAGCUGAUGGAAGGAAAACUUUAUUUUGGCUUUGUCUUGAGGAGAAGCUCCAUGAUGGCAAGAGAAAGCACAGCAUGGGCAGAGGCUGGACAUCACCUCCUGGCCACAGCAGGUGGAAAACAAAAGCAGAAGAGUGAGCCAAGGGGGAGUUGGCUAUAACAUUCCGAAGCCCACCCCCAGCAACAUGCCCCGUCCAGCUAGGCCGCCUCCCAAAUUGCAACCAUCUGGGAACCAAACAUGAGGGUGUGUGUGUGUGUGUGUGUGUGUAGUUUUUUGAGGUCGGGUCUCCCUCUAGCCCAGGCUAACCUGGAAUUCACUAUG